rnacentral:lncRNA from 1 species
AAAACGAUGGUAUCAUUUUUGUUACAACACAAAAACGAGGUCAUUUUAAUGCUCACUCAAACGGCACCGUUCUGGCAGUUUAUAAAAUAGCGUCAUUCUGGUAGCUUAUUAAAACGACAUCGUUUUAUUGGCUUAUUAAAACUAUGUUGUUUGGUUGCUUACCAAAUGAAAUAACAAUUGUUUAAGAAAUAUUUAAGGUCUCAAAAC